UGGGGGAUAUUGCACAAUGGGCGAAAGCCUGAUGCAGCGACGCCGCGUGGGGGAUGAAGGCCUUCGGGUUGUAAACUUCUUUUGCUCUGAACAAGGCAUGCUAAUGGGUGUGUUGAGUGUAGGGGUUGAUUAGCGCCGGCUAACUACGUGCCAGCAGCCGCGGUAAUACGUAGGGCGCGAGCGUUGUCCGGAAUUAUUGGGCGUAUAGGGCUUGUAGGUGGCUGGUUGCGUCUGUCGUGAAAGCUCAUGGCUUAACUGUGGGUUUGCGGUGGGUACGGGCUGGCUUGAGUGCAGUAGGGGAGGCUGGAAUUCCUGGUGUAGCGGUGGAAUGCGCAGAUAUCAGGAGGAAUACCGGUGGCGAAGGCGGGUCUCUGGGCUGUUACUGACACUGAGGAGCGAAAGCAUGGGGAGCGAACAGG
rnacentral:rRNA from 1 species